GAAUUUCCGUUUCCGGCGGUGUCCAAGCGGACCUAAGGAGUCGCAGUUGUGAACAGGUUAGAGUUACUUGUUAUUGGUAAAUAGCCACUAUGGAGACUAAGGACCAGAAGAAACACAGAAAGAAAAACAGUGGACCCAAAGCUGCAAAGAAAAAGAAGUGGCAUCUGCAGGAUCUCCAGCUAGGAGACGAAGAAAAUGCCCAGAAGAGAAAUGCCAAUGCUUUUGCAGUUCAGUCUGCUGUGUGGAUGUCUCGAUCCUUUCACAGGACUCUGGAUUUGAAGACACAAAAGCAUCAUAUUCCAGUGGUUGAUGGAACUCCACUAGAGCCGCCACCAAUAGCGGUAGUGGUGACGGGGCCUCCAAAGUUGGAAAGAGCACUUUGAUAUAAUGCCUCAUUCGGAACUUCACCUGGCAGAAGUUCACCGAGAUCAGAGGCCCUGUGACGAUCGUGUCAGGUAAAAAGCGCAGACUCACCAUUAUUGAAUGUGGGUGUGACAUUAACAUGAUGAUUGAUCUGGCUAAAGUAGCAGAUCUGGUACUGAUGCUUAUAGAUGCCAGCUUUGGGUUUGAAAUGGAAAUGUUUGAGUUUCUAAACAUCUGUCAAGCACAUGGCUUUCCUAAAAUUCUGGGAGUUCUCACCCACCUCGACUCCUUCAAGCAUAACAAGCAACUGAAGAAGACAAAGAAGUGAUUAAAACACAGGUUCUGGACAGAAGUUUACCAGGUUGCCAAACUGUUCUACCUUUCUGGAAUGGUGCAUGGAGAAUAUCAAAACCAAGAAAUCCACAAUCUGGGCCAUUUUAUUACAGUUAUGAAGUUUAGGCCUCUCAUGGCAAACUUUUCACCCUUAUAUCCUGGCAGACAGUUAAAAGGAUGGAAGAUUUGACAAACCCGGAGGAUAUCCAAACAAACAUCAAAUGUGACCUGCAGGUGUCACUUUAUGGUUAUUUAAGAGGAGCACACUUGAAAAAUAAAAGCCAAAUUCACAUGCCAGGACAAGGUGGGGCUCACCCAUGAGCUGGUCCAGAGUCUCAUCUCCACCUACUCCACCAUUGAUGCCAAGAUGGCUUCAAGUCGAGUGAUGCUGCUUUCCAAUUCCAAACCACUUGGGUCAGAGGCUAUAGAUAAUCAAGGAGAUGGCUUUGGAUUCCCUGUUCUGUGUGCUCCUGUCUGGCUCCUGAACCCAGCUGGAGAGGUGUGUCAAUCCCAACUGGUGAAGUACUGAGAGGAAGCUACACAAAAGGCAGCAAGGUGUUAAUAAGUGUACCUCUGACAUUUUAACCACCUCUGACUUUUCCAUGGAAUGGACAAGUAGUAGUCUCUGUCAGAGCAAUGUUUUAAAGGAAAAAAAGAAACUUGAGGUCGUAAACUGUUCAUUAAUUUAUGCUGUUAUUUUGUGUUUACUCAACUCAUUUAUAUUGACUUGUAAAUUAGUAAUUUAUGAACUACUAUUCAUCAAUUCAUUGCCUACAUGUCAGCAAACAAGUUUUCUUCUUAAUAAAGAAUCCGGUGGCUGGGCA
ensembl:lncRNA BMS1P1 BMS1 pseudogene 1